CUUAGCCCCAAGACGCAGAGCGCGGCGGCCGCACCCCAGCCCACCUGGCCCCCUGAAAGAAGAGGAAAGGGGCGGGAGCGUCACUGGGUCCCGGCAGCUCCAUUCUAGCUGCGGAGGCCGCGGCGAAGCCUAGGCUGAGAGGAGGUUGCCGGGCCCAGAACUAAAAGAGGCCAGGGGCCUCCCCAGCCCAAGCCUCCAGGGCCUGUCCAAUCCUCCACCCAGCUCCCCCGGCCCUUUCUUCUUUCUUUUCUCCUUUCGGAAGCCGCGGUGCGCAGGGGGAGCAGAGGCACAGCCCGGGCCCGAGAGGCCCGAGUAAACACGCCACUUACUUUGUGUACAGAGGGUUCUUGUGAAAAGCCCUGAAGAGUCCUCACCAAACACUCACCAACUUCUCCCACGUGCCAUUUGUUGACUAAGUGCGGCUGCUUUUCGCUGCGCCCGAGAGGAGGGGAAGCAAGGGGGAGAUAAGAGGGGAGGGGGAGUGGAAGCCUUGGUUGGAGGGGGGCGGAUGACCAAUGCUGGGAGAGUCUCUCUCUCUCCCUCUCUCUCUCUCUCUCUCUCUCUCUCUCUCUCUCUCUCUCUGUGUGUGUGUGUGCGCGCGCGCGCGCGCGCGUGUGUGUGAGUGUCCCGCCAGUGAUGUCGGUAUGUCAGCGUGUGUCCUUUGUGCCACCGGUCAUCUGUGUGUGGUGCGUGUCUCCGCACCACAACUCCCUCUCCUGGGUCUGCUCAGUCCACGGAGGCAGCUCCCCUUCAGCUGUUGCCAGAAAACGGGGAGGAAACCGAAUAAACACAAUCUCCAAUAAACAUCUCUAAUGAGGGAGGAGGCCCGAGGAUGGCUGGGUUUGAUUUAUGACUGGAGGAGAAGGUCCACUUCCCACUGCGAAGCGGGCAACCUGCUCGCGGCCCAGCUCCUGAGAGAGGAACCCGCGGAGGAGAGGACCCAGGCCCAGGCUUACCCUCAGCCCAGGAUAGCCCUGACUGCAAUUUUCCGACAUCUAGGGCAGCUCCAGGCUCUGAUUCUCCACAGCAAACACAGUGAGCGAGCUCGCCAGUCGCCCAGUCUGCGGAGGCUCCCAGGCCAGCCCCGGCACCCGACUGCCGAGAAGCCCAGAGCUUCCCCAUUAGCCAGCAGAGGCUGGUGGAGAGCCUGGAUGGAGCCUGCAGGUGCUAGGCACGGGAAAUGGCGUCAGACCCCAGCAGAACGCUUCACAAAGAGGAGAGGGCUUGCUGCGUACAGGCCCAAAAGAAACGAAGCCCCACAUAAAAUUACACCUAUUUUUUUUCUACAAAACCUGGUUCUUAUAUAGCAAAGUUAAACAAAGCAGCUAUGCUAAAUUAGCGUUACAUAAAGGCGAGUUUAAUGCUCGGUUACAGUCAACUGAUGUAUCUCUGAUGGCUAAUUGUCUAUCAAAAUUAAAGAGAAAAGAACAAAUGAUUCGUUAUAAGAAGGUGUUAAAAGCCUCAACAAAAGGACAUUUCACAAAUAUAAUAUCGGCAGCUCCGGGAUUGCCUGCGGGGUUGUUCAGGCCCCGGCCCUGCACAGCUAUGAGAAGUGGGGUGCAGGGUGCUAUUUGCCCGGCAAGAGCUCAUUUCCUCCCAGAUGAGUAUAAUGAAAACCCGAGAGGCGAUAUUAGUGUAAAGAUCGGGAUUAAUCCAAACAGGAGCGGUAGACUUGGGCUUAAAAGGCGAGCCCUACUCCCUUUGCCCAGUCUGGGGACGGAGGGCACUUGAAGGGAUACUUCAAGGACGCCACAUCCAACUCUUCGAAGUCCCACGUUCAGGGACAGGAGGGAGCGAUCAUUGGGCAGAGGGUAGUUUCAACAAAGGAGAGCAGGCUAGAGAGAUCCCGGCUUUUCCUUGCCUUCUAGGGGUUGGAAGGGGACGGUUCGGGCUCUGUCGCAGGCGCGGGCACAGUCCAGCACGUGCCUUUCUGACGCGCGGCGCUGGUCUGGGGAGGGGCGUGCAGGCUGCUGCUGCCAGCCCCCACCCCGCCCCAGGCUGGGAAGGACGCAGAAUAUAAUACGACGGCCCCUUCCCCAAGGCGACACCAGAUCCAGAGCUCCAGGCAUAUUUGUUGUUCAAAGUUAAUUAAACCUGAAAGCAACCAAAAUGCGCGCGCCAGGCUCACGGAGGCCGAUUCCCGACCCGUGUAGCCGGCCCGCAGAGCCAGAAAAGCGUCAAGGGCCGCCGGGGCUCGCUCAUUCCGGCGGAGUCUCUGUAAGAGAAUCUGAGACUGGGGAAUAAAAGCCGAAACCAAAUCA
rnacentral:lncRNA from 13 species